UCUUCGAUGGUCUAGUGGUCAUGAUUUCCGCUUGUCAUUGGUGUCCAAUAGCAAGCGCGGGAGACCGGGGUUCGAUUCCCCGUCGGAGAG
rnacentral:tRNA from 1 species